GACGAACGCUGGCGGCGUGCUUAACACAUGCAAGUCGAACGGAAAGGCCCUUUCGGGGGUACUCGAGUGGCGAACGGGUGAGUAACACGUGGGUGAUCUGCCCUGCACUUCGGGAUAAGCUUGGGAAACUGGGUCUAAUACCGGAUAGGACUACGGACUGCAUGGUCUGUGGUGGAAAGCUUUUGCGGUGUGGGAUGGGCCCGCGGCCUAUCAGCUUGUUGGUGGGGUGAUGGCCUACCAAGGCGACGACGGGUAGCCGGCCUGAGAGGGUGUCCGGCCACACUGGGACUGAGAUACGGCCCAGACUCCUACGGAGGCAGCAGUGGGGAAUAUUGCACAAUGGGCGCAAGCCUGAUGCAGCGACGCCGCGUGGGGAUGACGGCCUCGGUUGUAAC
rnacentral:rRNA from 1 species